UACGUAGGGGGCGAGCGUUGUCCAGAUUCAUUGGGCGUAAAGCGCUUUAAGGCGGUUCGGUAAGUCGGGUGUAAAACCUCCAGGCUCAACCUGGAGACGCCACUCGAUACUGCUGUGACUAGAGUUCGGUAGGGGAUCACGGAAUUCCUGGUGUAGCGGUGAAAUGCGCAGAUAUCAGGAGGAACACCGGUGGCGAAGGCGGCUACCUGGACGGCUAUUGACGCUGAGACGCGAAAGCGUGGGGAGCAAACAGG
rnacentral:rRNA from 1 species